AGGCUAUUCCAGUCGUUCCCGGCUAUUCGGACAGGUGGAGCAAUCGUUGGUCUAGUGGCUGUUAGAGCGGGAGCAAUGAACCGCUUCCGAAGCUCGAAAUAUAAGAACACGGCACCGCGGCUUCCGGGCCGGGCGGACUGGAUCAAUGACAUUAAAUCAAACUCUGCUGCCUCCUAUGGGAAUCAUAUCAAAUCAAGCUGUGCCUUCAUCGCCUUCAAUGCACACAGCCCAGGAGGAGGGACUCUCGGAAUUCUGCCACUGGAAACUGGAAAUGGAGAUAAACCGCGGGUGUCGGAGCUUCAUUGUCAUGCAGAUCUGGUGACUGAUUUUGAUUUCUCCCCAUUUGAUGAUGAAUUGCUGGCAACAUGUUCAGCUGAUAUGACGGUAAAGCUGUGGCGACUACCUGACACUUUCCAGCAGGUGUCAUCUGCACAGAACAUCACUCUGGGACCAGAAGCUGUGAGGGUGGAAUGUGUGUCGUUUCAUCCUUCUGCAGAUGGAGUUUUAGCAAGUGGAGCUGGAAAUAUAGCCAAAAUAUGGGACGUGUCACAACAGAAAGCCAUGGCAGCUCUUGAAGAUCACGGGGAUCAAAUUCAGAGCUUGACUUGGAAGAAAGAUGGGUGCCUCCUUGGUUCAUCAAGUAAGGACAAGAAGCUACGAAUUUUCGACCCGAGAGUGACGUGCUCAGCCGUGCAGUGCGUUCAAGGCCAUGAAAACAUCAAGGAUUCCCGGUUGAUUUGGCUCAACAUAUCAGACACUCUUCUGUCAACUGGGUUUAGCCAGAUGCGUGAGCGACAGGCCAGACUGUGGGACACGCGCAAGUUUACUAGUCCUGUCAGCACCUUAAAUCUUGAUACAGCGCAAGGAUCACUGAUCCCGCUGUAUGACACGGAUUCUGGGUUGCUGAUCCUUGCUGGAAAGGGUGAUAAUGUUCUACAUUGCUUUGAAGUGUGCACUCCAGCGGCCACUUUAACCCAAGUGAAUCAAUGCCUGACAGAGUUGAAGUCCAAGGGUGUUGCAAUGGUGCCCAAACUUGCGCUGGAUGUGAUGUCAUGUGAAGUAAUUCGAGUACUGCAGCUCACUGAGAACUCCAUUGUGCCCAUCAGCUACAGAGUGCCCCGCAAGUCUCUCCAUGAAUUCCAUGAUGAUUUAUUCCCAGACACUCCUGGUAAAGUUCCUUCAAUAUCUGCGCUGGACUGGUUCAAUGGUUCCAAUAAGCAGGUACAGAAAGUUUCUUUACAUCCAGCCAAACGCACAAAGCAGAGUUUCAUCUCUAUUGCUGUGCCUAGUAUGCGGAAAUCUUCAAGAGAAUUGAGAGAACUAACUCGCAGGGGAGAAAAAGAAAUGGAAGAAGUGCCUUGGGGAACAGGAAAAUCUGUUGACAAUGGACAGACAUCGUCAUCAAGUUCCAUCAGCUCAAUGACCUCACCAUCCAACACCUCUCCAAGCAGCACCAGCUCAAAGUUCACCGAUUUUGUAACCCCUCAAAGCCAGAAAUCUCUGCACAGUAUCUUGGGCAACAAUUCAAAGUUCAGACAUGUACAAGGCACAGUGUCUCAUCGGGACACGCACAUCACUAAUCUGAAGGGAUUAAACCUGACGACACCUGGCGAGUCUGAUGGAUUCUGUGUGAAUCGUGAGCGUGUUGCAGUUCCUUUGAAGGUGUCGGGUGGGCAGAUCGCUGUGCUGGAGCUGUCGAAACCUGGGCGGCUGCCGGACAACUCCCUUCCCACCAUCCAGAACAGUGCAGCUGUCACUGACCUCAGCUGGGAUCCCUUCAAUCGCCAUCGUCUUGCUGCCGCUGGUGAAGAUGCAAAGAUCCGAAUCUGGAGAAUUCCAACUGGAGGACUCUCGGGAAUUCUUUCUGACCCUGAGCAAACCCUGUCUGGUCAUACAGAGAAAAUCUAUUCCAUCAAGUUCCACCCACUGGCAUCUGAUAUCUUGGCUUCAUCCUCCUAUGAUAUGACUGUGAGGAUCUGGGACAUCAGUUCAGGAAAAGAAGAGAUCAUACUGAAGGGACAUACAGAGCAGAUCUUCAGCCUGUCCUGGAGUCCUGAUGGGCAGCAACUGGCAACAGUCAGCAAAGAUGGCAAAGUUCGAGUGUAUGAUCCUCGACGUUCUGUAAACCCUGUGCAGGAAGGACCAGGACCUGUAGGCAGUCGGGGAGCACGGAUCUUGUGGGUAAGCGACGGACGAUAUCUGCUGAUAUCUGGCUUUGACAGCCGCAGUGAGCGACAGAUCUCCCUCCAUGAUGUGGGGUCCUUGGCACUGGGACCACUAGCAACCACUGACAUCAAUGCAGCGCCAUCCACUCUCAUUCCUUUCUAUGAUGACGAUACCAGCAUCGUCUAUCUCACAGGCAAGGGUGAUACAAGGGUCCAUAUCUACGAGAUUCAGACUGAUGCGCCAUAUUUCCUGCAGUGCAGUAGUUUCAAUUCCACUGAACCACACAAGGGACUCUGCUUUCUGCCAAAGACUGAAUGCAGUGUGAGGGAAGUGGAAAUCGCACGAGCCUUGCGUCUGGGGCACAAUUCCUUAGAGUCCAUUAUUUUUACAGUUCCGCGUGUUAAGAAAGAGUUUUUCCAGGAUGACAUUUUCCCUGAUACCACAAUGUGGUGGCAACCCGUGCUCUCCGCCUCUGCCUGGCUGGCUGGUUCCAAUGGACAGCACAAGAAGCUGAGCCUGAAGCCUGAAGACAUGGUCCCAGUGAGUGAAGCUCCUAAAGAGGUGCCAAACAGGAAAUACAAGCCCUCAGCUUUCUACCUAGAGGAGAAAACGGAUGAGGAGAAAAAGGAAGAGCUGCUAAGUGCCAUGGUGGCAAAGCUUGGGAACUUGGAUGAUCCCCUGCCUCAGGACUCAUUUGAAGGAGUGGAUGAAGAUGAAUGGGAUGACUAAAUUUCAACUAAAGACAUCUCUACAGUACUUCAUCUCCUGAUGGACCCUCCUGUUGGUGGAGCCACAGCUUCCUGCUUCAUCAAAUGUCAUUAAUCACAAGCCUGUUAAUGAGCAAGAGAGCGUAUCCAUCGCCCCACUCACUCGCAACAUUUCCCUUGCUCACUUUCGUCCAUCUCUCACUCAUUUACAGCAUCUCCCUCAUUCACUCACACCAUGACUCCCUUACCCAUUUGUAGCACGUUUCCCUUGCCCACUUGCAGAGCAAGUCUCCCUCUCAUUCACCACGUCUCCUUUGCUCACCCAUAUAACAUAUCUCCCUCCCUCACUCACUCUCCGAUCAGAUCCAACAUCACCCAUAGAAUGCCUUUCUUUCUUUCUUUAAGGAUGUCUUGCCCACUCCUGGUUCAUACUCAGCGCAUAGGAAGUGCGAGAAAGGCAUCAGUGAGUUGCAUUUGUCAGCACCCUCACUGGCAUUCCUUUCUCAAUUUUCACAUUCACAACCACAUUUCCUUCAUGCACCCCUGCCACAGACACACUUGCUCUCCCUCUCCGUCAAUGCCCCACUUCAUGCAGAGUUAUGCAAUGGGAGGACUGUGCGCAAGACUGGUGGGCACUUGAUAAUAAAUUUAAAACAAACAACUAAUUAUCACUUUGUGGAGAUGGCUGAUACAGUGUCCCAUGACUGGUUUGGAGGGGACUCUGACCCAGUCACAGUGACUUUUUACUGGUCUGGGCAAUGACCCCUGACUGAUCUGGGCAUGACUGUGUGACCUAGUUACAAUGAUGCUGUUGACCUGCAUGGGCAAUGACUCCCUGACCCCUCAUAUUGAUCCUUCCAUUGGUCUGGACACUGACACCCAGUCACAUUCUCUGUUGAGUUCUCUUAACAGGAAACCCAGCCAACAAAUCCUAAGUGUCACAUAAUCAAAAUCAUCAUUCUGGCAAAGGUGAUCAAUAACCAGUGUCAUGUUUGACAAAAGAUAUUACAUCAAAAAUUUUGAUUAUUCAAACAAUAUUUGGUGAGCAAGUAAAUAGGAUGUUAUUGAAGUUGUCAUCUGAAGCAAGCUAAAGCCUUUCAAUUUCUUGCUCGUCAAUCUAUUGUAAAUGUCCUUUUAAUUUUUUUUAUUGAAAAGUAGGCAUUGCUGGCAAGGUCAGUAUUUAUUACCUGUCCUUCACUUCCCUUGAGAUGGUAAUGGGGAGUCACCUUCUUGAAGUCCAUGUGGUAUAGGUAGAGUGCUUUUUGAGUAUACAAUAGUGUCUGCACUUCAAAGAAAUUGAUUUAAAUGUUCAAUGUUGACAUGUAAGGAUUUGCAAAGACUUUUUUCUGCUGAUUGUGUUGUAAUAUAUGCACCAUGUUGUCUAUCAUUUAUGUUUCAGUAUUAAAUGGAUACAUCGUUAAGUAUUAUACUAACUCCGAUAGAAGAUCAAGAAGGGAAAGUCUCUGAAAAGGGAAAGCUUUUUAGGUGCCUUAACUGAAUUUUCCAGUAACAGAUUGUGACUUGCUCACUAUAGUCAAAGAUUUAAUUAGACAUUGCUGAGGAAAGAAGGACCAGUGGAAUACUCUUUGGUUAAAUGUUACAGAGUAGAAAAUUCAUUUUAAUUAUUUAGAACACUCCCAGUUACAGAAAAUGGCUGAAAUGAUAUUAUUUAGGAUUAAUACAUGUUCAUAAUUAUUUAUAGCAUCUAAGAGGAGCUCCAUUUUAUAAAACACAAUCAGUUAGUCUUUUCUGAAUACAGUCAAGCAGCUAUUUGAAGGGAUGUCUAUUUUAAGAAACUAAUCUUAGGAUUAAAGGACAAAGCUCUACAUCAUAUAUAAAACAAAUCAGAUCUACAAUAGCUGGACUUGGUCCACGAAAGAUCUUAUUCUGUUCAAACCAAACAACUGGUAAUGAGACAGACUAUUUAUUAUACAGUAUUUUGAGAAAUAAAGCUAAUUGAUUAAAUCACCAGCAGAUGGCAUCUACAUCAUUUGUAGUU